AUUUUAUGUUCUUAAUUUUAAAUUCAAACACUUCUAAUUACCGGUCCAUUAUUUUGGGCUACCAAGAAAAGUAUGUUGAUUUCAAGUAUCAUAGGAUUUUUGCAUUUUUAUAUUGUUAGUUUAUUAUCUAUUAUUUGGGGGGUUAAUAUGAUGUAAAAAUGGUGUCAAUUCAUUUUUAGGGGAAACUGGGUCUAAUUUUCAAAUUUGUAAAGUUAGUAAAGUCUAAGCACAGUGCUUA
rnacentral:lncRNA from 1 species